AGUGAACGCUGGCGGUAGGCCUAACACAUGCAAGUCGAACGGCAGCACAGUAAUAGCUUGCUCUUACGGGUGGCGAGUGGCGGGCGGGUGAGGAAUACAUCGGAGUCUGCUUUUUCGUGGGUGAUAACGUAGGGGAACUUACGCUAAUACCGCAUACGACCUACGGGUGAAAGCAUCGGACCUUCGGACCUCGCGCGAUUGAAUGAGCCGAUGUCGGAUUAGCUAGUUGGCGGGGUAAAGGCCCACCAAGGCGACGAUCCGUAGCUGGUCUGAGAGGAUGAUCAGCCACACUGGAACUGAGACACGGUCCAGACUCCUACGGGAGGCAGCAGUGGGGAAUAUUGGACAAUGGGCGAAAGCCUGAUCCAGCCAUACCGCGUGGGUGAAGAAGGCCUUCGGGUUGUAAAGCCCUUUUGUUGGGAAAGAAAAGCAGUAGGUUAAUACCCCGCUGUUCUGACGGUACCAAAAGAAUAAGCACCGGCUAACUUCGUG
rnacentral:rRNA from 1 species